UUUAGCGUAUUAAGGUAAACUCAAAAUCGAUAUGUUAAUACCCUUUAUAUUGCUCUAUAAAUAUCAGUGAUAGCUCGUGCACGGGGUUGUUAAUUAGCUCUUCAGCUUUUAAAAGAAAGAAAGAGAGAGAUGGCAAGACUAAGCAGAGGGCUGUUAAUGCUCAUUGUAAUAGUGGCUGCAAUUCAGAUUUGCGCAGCAGAGGCCAUCACCGCCACCGUCUCGUGGGGGGAUCCUUGCAGCGACAAAGCUAAGACCCAAAUAGAAAAAUGCUUGAAGGAAGAGACUGCUGACAUUGACAAGUGCUGCCGUAAAUUACGCAACGCCAUUCAUGAUAGCUGCCCUUGUUGGGUUCACGCUGUUGCCACAGACAAACCACUUGCCAUUGCCUACUUUGAGUAUUGCCAGAUUUAUCAUCCCCCAUGCUAAAAUUCUCUGGCGAUAUGAAUAUAUGAGACGGAGGAAGACAAUGGGAUAGUACCUGUUCUUUUUUAAUUUCCAAGCUAUGUUUUCGUCGAUGUUAGAUCUUAGUUUUCUAUUAUGUUAGUUGUACCUUUGUGCUCUCGUGGUACAACGCAACGGCGUUGCUUCUUUUUCCGUUUCCUUGUACAAGAGUUGCUGAAAUUUCAAUGCAUUACGUUUAGGACCGUUGUUCUUGUCAAA